GUCACGGCGUUUGGAUCGUGAGGUCAGUGACUGUGAAAAAAAAUACAUUCAGCUUACUUACUAAUGGUAUAUACGAAGAGCAUGUUACACACAGCUUGUCCAACAUUUAAACUGAGAAAAGAAGAAAAAAUGACUACUAUCAAGACAGCGAAGAAAAAUCAGAGUUCAAGAGGAUCCCUUAUGCUGCCCCCAAUACACCAAUCUCCACAGAGGCAUCCUCUUCAGAAAUCUCCUUCAGUGGCAUCUGGAGUGAGAAGAAAGGGCCUAGCUCGUAGUAAAUCAUCUGCAAUUGCUCCAGAUGUUCUGGAUGCAGCUGAGGUCCAUCGGAUCGUCAGGAGAAGAGCUCCUGCUCCACCCACUUACCCCAGAAUAGGUCCUAAUAAAACAUCUGGAAUAGCUCCGGAUGUUCUGGCAGCCAAGGUCCAUCAGAUCGUGAGAGAAAGAGCUCCUGCUCCACCCACCUUCCCCAGAAUAGGACGUGUGCCGAAGCCAGCCCCGUGAAAGACUGCGCAGUUUAUAUUGCCUCAUGGACCUGAUGUGGAGGCAUCAUGCGGGUCUCAGUGGGUGACUGAGUAUAUGGAAAGCUUUGGUUUUCCACAACUGCCCCGCCCAGCACCUCCAAAAAAACCUGCACCGCCUAAGGCCUCAUUUAGGAAGCUUCAACGUCCUCCUCAUCCUCGGACUGAAUACCAGACUGUGUUUGGUCCUAAGUUCCGCACCGCUGAUUUCGAUGUCCUCCUGUAUCGACAGCUCCAUGGAACAGCGUAAAAGGUAUUUCCUCAGAACAUGUGUAGUAAUACUACAGCAGCACAGUACAUAGUACUAUAAGAGCCAGCUUCAUUAAGGGUGUUCAUAACAGUCAGCACCAUUAUGACCUUUUAUAAAACCCCAAUUAUAAACACCAUAAAAAAAUUAUUUAUCAGUCAUUUUUCAUGUAUAACGGAUUAUGCCAUAAACAACACAUACAUCUCCCCUUAGCAAUGUACACUUUUCAAAUGCACUGGUCCAUAAGCGAGUCAGCAGAUCCUCGUUCCUUCACCUAGUUUGUUCAUUUAGAUCACAAAUGAAAACUACUUGUUCACUCAGAAUCAGUAGGUCUACCCCUCUCGUUCAGAGUCAAAGUGAGUGUCAUAUCCGUUCAAUACGUCUAACCAAUGAAAUACUCCUUCACACCCUACACUCUAAUGCACACUUUAAAAUGCAGGAAAAAGCUGACAAAGCAGUCACGUUUUACACGGAUGGGACAUAUGUGAAAGAAAAAUAUGAGUCAGUACAUGAAAGUGAACGAGGACGAAAAGAAUCUUUUAAAAACACUGAUUUGUUCAAAAACUAUUGCUAGAGGCUCACUCUUACACUUUUCCUGUAGUAUCUAGCUGGUGCUAUAUAGCUACACAAAAUGAUAUAGCACAGUACAACAUACACAAACAGUUAAUAGCAGAUCACCAUAUGCUACAGUGUUGAUCACUGAUUAUUAUACUGAUUAUUAUACUGAUAAUUAGACCUUAUAUUAUACUGAUUAUUAUACUUAUAUUAUACUGUUUAUUAUACCUUCUAUUAUACCUUCUAUUAUACCUUAUAUUAUACUGAUUAUUAUACUGAUUAUUAUACUCAUUAUUAGACCUCAUCCCAAGUUGUAAAAUGUAAAAUAUUCAUAUGUAGCUUGUCUUAAGAUAAUCAGGCAGAUAGUUAAGCUUUCUCUUUCUCCUCUCUACAGCAGGUCGCUGGGAGCCAAAAUGCUGUCUUCCUGCCUCUCAAGAAAUAACAAACAAACAAAAAUGAACAAAAAACUAAAAUUUAAAUCUAUAUAUUUACAAGUAGCAAUAUAUGGAUACAAAUACACUGAUCAGGCAUAACAUUAUGAACACUGACAGGUAAAGUGAAUAAGACUGAUUAUCUCCUCAUCAUGACACCUGUUAGUGGGUAGGAUAGAUAGAUAGAUAGAUAGAUAGAUAGAUAGAUAGAUAGAUAGAUAGAUAGAUAGAUAGAUAGAUAGAUAGAUAGAUAGAUAGACUUUAUUUGUCACAUAUACAUUACAGCACAGUGAAAUUCUUUCUUCGCGUAUUCCAUCCUUGGAGGUUGGGGUCAGAGUGCAGGGUCAGCCAUCAUACAGCACCCCUGGAGCAGAGAGGGUUAAGGGCCUUGCUCAAGGGCCCAACAGUAGCAACUUGGUGGUGCUGGGGCUUGAACCCAAAGGUUCUCAAAGUUGAUGCGUUAGAAGCAGGAAAAAUGGCUAAGUGUAAGGAUUUGAGCGAGUUUGACAAGGUUCAAACUGUGAUGGCUAGACGACUGGAUCAGAGCAUCUCCAAAACUGCAGCUCUUGUGGGGUGUUCCCGGUCUGCACUAGUCAGUAUCUUUGAAAAGUGAAAAGUAGUCCAAGGAAGGGACAGUGGUGAACCGGUGACAGGGUCAUGGGCGGCCAAGGCUCAUUGAUGCACGUGGGGAGAGAAGGCUGGACCGUGUGAUCUGAUCCAACAGACGAGCUACUCUUGCUGAAAUUGCUGAAGAAGUUAAUGCUGGUUCUGAUAGAAAGGUGUCAGAAUACACAGUGCAUCUCAGUUUGUUGCAUAGGGGGCCGCAUAGCCGCAGACCAGUCAGGGUGCCCAUGCUGACUCGUGGGCACCACCAAUGGGCACGUGAGCCUCUGUGAGCUCGUGUGGUUGGAUAGCACUUUCCUCCGAGUGUGGUACACCAACCCCUGUUCAACAGUUUGGAAAAAUGCAAGCUCCGAGGAAGGGUGUGAUAGCCUCUGGCCUUCCUUGUUGUAGCUGUUGGCAGAGAAACUGGGGAAGAACUGGGGAGAAAAUCAGGAGGAAAGAAUAAAUAUAUGUAAAAAAUGUAUUUAAAAAAACAGAAUAAAGCAAAUAAAGAAAGAGUCUGUUUGUUUUGUCUUUUAAAUACUUUCCUCACACAAAAUUCCAGGUUCAGCUCUCAGUAAAAGCUUGACAGUUAUGACAAUUUGCUUA